GAUGUUCUCUGUCCAGCCCUUUCCUCGUCCCAACCACAUCCAGAAACGCUUGGGAUUUUCUGUUGCACUUCUGGGCAUCCUGUCGGACCUCCGGGUUGAGCUUCCAUCUCCAUCCCUUCUCGUCCUACAAGCAGCCUUAUAGUUAAGAUGAGGCACAGUGCUGGAGGUCACUUUAAAACUAGCUGAAGAGCCUUGCUCCCUGGGAGCAUCAGAUGGCACUGGAGGAGCAGCAAACAGGGCUGGUAAGACAGUUAACUCCAGGUUGUGGAAACCUUAAUGCUUCUGGGGAACUUAAUGAUGGAAGUACUGAAAAGCCAUUAGAGGUCUUUGAGGAAGAAAGAAAAAGAGGAAACAUGCGUUGGUCUGGAUGGCUGAAAAUGGUCUGGAAGGAUUGUCUAAAAGCAUAAACCGAAGUUUGCACUUUUGACCCAUCUCUUCCAUCUCUUAUUUACUACCUGCAAUUUGAAAGACCAGUCAGUAUGCAUGGCUCAUGGGAUUUAUCAACAUUUGGUGCAGCCAAAUCGAGUCCUAUCUUGGAAGGAUACAUCUCAUUUGAAACCCCCUGCACCAGGUAACCUAAGCUACAGAAUGCUGUUUCCUUGUGAAAACAAUUUAUUAGGCCCAGUGGAGCCAAUAUCCUGGAGCUGUAGAGGAGAAAAAUAAAUUCUUGCCUCAUAUUUCCUCACCUGAAACAUGGAACGCAAUGUUGUAAUUUCCAGGUCUGGGUUUUAUGUGAAGGUCAUCUUUAAGUGAUACAGCCAUAACAGUUUGGGCUGCAUAUUACACACUUUUAAGAGUAUGCAAGUAUUUAUUUAGAAGUGUGCUUUUUAAAUCAACAAAGGAACCUGAAUGGGACAUAAAGAUUCCUCUCUAGGAAGGUACCUUUGUUUAAAUGAUAGCUGAACAUUCAGCUGGAGCGUCAAGCCCCUAUGUUCUGGAAGAGUCUCCGCAUCAGAUGGCCUGCUUAAUGGCCUUCCCAUUUCCAUCACUAGCCAUGCUGACAGCCUACCUUUUCUAACUGAUAUGCUGGCAUUGUAAUUUAUCUUCAAAAAAAUAAAUCACAUGUUAUAGCCUUUCUA